rnacentral:lncRNA from 1 species
UUAUACUAAAAGCAAGGUUGUUUUGGAAGCCCUAAUUCUAUGGUGAUUUGAAACCCUAAUUUUUUGUCCAAUUGUCACUUGACAUCUUUGUGUAUUAGCCAAUAAAAUGUUGACAACUCUAGGUUUGCAUCCCUAAUUCCCUUCUCCCUUGGUAACCCUAAUUCCUGGAAAACCACAUGUUGAGAAGUGAGAACUAGAAACUUACACAUGGAUAGCUACAUGGAACACAUGCAUUGGGCCCAAUAAAAUAUAUAUUUCUUUUUUCCCAAAUUUUUUUCAUUUAUCAAGUGUUUUUCUCUCUCUUCUCUCUUUUCUCUCUCCCGUACUCUCUCUUUUCUCACCAUCCUCACUCACACUCUCAUCUCUCUUUACCCUCAACUAUUAUUCAUCUCUCUUCUCUCUUUUUUCCCAAAUCAAUCGCUCGUGAGAGUGAUUUUU